CUUGUCUACACGGGGAAGUUAGUGCGCGGUAAGCUAGGGUGUGAGUUUGCAGCACGCUAGCUGCUCUGCACUAACUCCCCCUGUGGAUGCUGAG
rnacentral:pre_miRNA from 1 species